UUUCUCCUCAUUUUUUUUUUAAAGUUGACUCAAAAUUUAACACUCGCGUAGUACACACUAUAAAAUAUAAAGGGAUCAUACUAAUACUUACAAAGGAUUCUGGGCUAUAAUAGAAUGCAAUUUUCGUAGAAGAAAGCAACCGUAUCUUUCAAAGACGAAUGAAGUUACGUAGGAAGUCUGUGGUAGUUUAAUAGAACUUUGGAUCAGUCAAUCAUUGCUUCCGUUUAAGGGAUCAUUCUAAUACUUACAAAGGAUUCUGGGCUAUAAUAGAAUUCAAUUUUCUUGGAAGAAAGCAACCGUAUAUUUCAAAGACGAAUGAAGUUACGUAGGAAGUCUCUGGUUGUUUAAUAGAACUUGGGAUCAGUCAAUCAUUGCUUCCGUUUAAGGAUAGGUAUAAAAUUGGAGUAAUUUUCUAUGGAUACAAGGAAGAAGGCAAAAUGCUACAUAAUAUCUUCACAAAAUUCCAUGAGAUCCUCCUGGGGAAUUAUUUAUAUUUGCAAAUCAAAUGAUGGACCAUCAAACAGGAUAGAUAUAAAAUUUGAGUCAUUUUCUAUGGACACAAGGAAAAAGGCAAAAUGUUACAUAAUAUCUUCACAAAAUUAACUGAAAUCAUCCCGGAAUUAUUUGUAUUUGCAAAUCGAAUGAUGGACCAUCAAACAGGACUCCAUAAUUAUUGAGGGUUGUCUAAUGAAACGGUUAAUGGAAUAAGAAACAGUCAAAGGACAAUGAUUGGCUAAUUGUUUAUUGAAACAGCAGAAGAUAUAGUGCAAACAUUGUUGAACAAGUAAUUAAAGGCGCGUUAUAUUAAUACUACAACACCACACACUCCUUCCCCACUCACACGAGCAUUGCUAGCUCUCUGUGUUGGUUAAUAAAAUUUCCUAAUUCAACAUUAGUGAAUUUCAUUAGCUGAUGCGGUUGGUUAACAGUGUUUUUGUCGGUGUGGAUCCCCGGCUUAAGAUGACUCCAGAGCGCGGCGCGGCCUUCCCCAAGAGAGGAGACUUCUUGGGUCACCCCCUAACCCCGAUGUUCGGGCAUCGAUGACCUGUGUAGCAUGCAGAGGUACCCAAGGGAGUCACCACCCUCUGAUUUACGAGCUAGGUGUUCUAAUGCUAGAGGCUUCGGCCGGAUACAACCUGGCACCCAAGCUCCGAGAUUUCUUCGUGCACGUAUUCCGUGACCCUCGAAGAG